CUUCUCCGCCUCUCCCUCUCCCCAACCGUCUCCUUCUCCUGCGAAUGGAACCCUAACAUACUCACCCUUCUUCUCUAUAGACUGAAACAGUAGCACACAAAAUCGUAAUGGAGUUAGCACUCUCGAUCUGCUUCUCUUCAAAUCUCUUUAUAAUUUCAUGAAAUUAUUAUUGUUUUAUUUCUUGAAAUUGUUUGAAGAUGAAAACCCAUCAAAAUCUCUUUAGAAAAUUGGAAGCCCUAACUUCAUAAUCAAAUCCUGAGUUUUCAGAAUCAACAGCAAAUCAACAAAGCCCAUUAAAACCUAGGAGUUAUGUUUUCCAUCUCCUACAUAUUCUGAUAAGUGAAUGAAUCUAAUAACUUACAUUUAUGUUUCAGUUGUUUUUUUAAAUCGAUUAUAAGUUGUUUUUUGAGAUAGUAAUUAUAAUUCUUUUUUGUUUAAUUUCAUCAGGUCUUUUGAGAAGGACGGGAAGAUGAGAACCCCUACAUUCAUCAGCAAGAACUGAUGAAUUCCUUGCUUCUAGUUUCAAAUAAGAAACGGGUUAAUCGGUUUUACUUAGUGAAGCUACUCGCUAUCUCUUUGUACAACACCCUUAUCUUUCCUCUGAAACCCUAGCCUUGCACGUCUGUUACUGCUUCGAUUUUUUUUUUGCGGGUUUUCAUAGAGAAAAACCCUGAUUUUUGUAAAUCCUUUGUUUCUCAAUAACUCUUGGGUUUAUUACUUGUCUUACAUUUAUUCUUUCUGUGGUUUGAUUCUUUGUGUUGUGUUGUGUUGUUUAUUUUGAGAUUUUUUUUAAAAAUUUGAAUUUGGGUUUUCGAGAUUUUAUAUGCAUGAAAAAUUUGUGGUUUGGGUAAUAACGAGGGUUUUAUGAUUUAGGAUUUGGUUUCUGAAGAUUGUUUUAAAGGUUAUAUAUGGAUCAUUUGGGUAGAGGAGAAAGACAAUUUUUUUAUUUGGAUGAGUUUUUCAUGUAAAGUAAGAUGUGUUCAUUUUAGACUGAUUCAUGUGGAAGUGUAUGAUAAGAAGUAGCCUCCCCUAAAUGUCAUGCUCUUUUUGAUGAAUAGUAGUUACCAUCAUAAAUUUCUUGACUGAAUGGCUUAACUCCUUGGUGAUAUAUUCCGCAAGUUUGAGGCUUUUAGGCUUUAAUUUCGAUGUUUACUUUCUUCAUUUUAUUGAGAACCAGUAACAAACUGCUUGGCAUUCGCUUAUUUCGAUGGUUUACCUCUAAAAAUUUUGUCUGCAAUUUUAACUAUUGAAUUUGUGUUAGAUUGUGAGUACAUGUUUUUGUUUUAGUCUAUGAUCAUAAAUCGCUUUGAUUACAAAACACCCGCACUCCUGAGAGUAAUCUAUGAUGUUGAAAAGGUAAAAAUGGUUGAAUUUCUUGAUAUGAGCCAUAAUUGAUAUACUAGGCCAUGUAGUAUUGGAUAUUUUAUUCAUUUAUGUGAUUGAAUUAAUUAUGAAUUUGGCUGUGAUAUUCAUCACACAGCUUUUAUGCUAGUUCUGCUUCAGAAAUUUCUUGAUAGAGAGAACUGAAAUUUGUUUAUCUUUUUUAUAGAUGUGUGUAUGGAAUAUUAUAAAUUAAGAUUAAUAAUCACUGUGUUAAUUGAGAGGCCUAUGAUGAUGUUAUCCAAUUAGUUGAGGUGCAGUGGAACUGAGACCCUGUUUACAGGGAGAACCCCUUGGAGAAACUAUAUUCGCAUGCCAAUAAUGGAUCUAACUGAGGCACUAUGGCAUUUUUCACCCUGAUUUGACCUGGUCUGCAGUACUUCUUUUUUGCUGAGUUUAUGAUACAUCAUUGUAAUUAUUUAGUUUGCUUUUUAGCACAUUUUGAGUUUUAACUUGGUGUCUUGUUAAGAGGUUUCCGUUCUAUGUACCUGAUUUUUUGAAUAAUGACUUCCCCAAUGUAAGUGUUCUUUUGUUCGUUGUUAUUGCUCUUUCGACGGAAGAAGAGCAAAGCUUUGAGUUAUCAUGAUCUUCGUCAGUUGAAGAAACGAUAAGCAGUUACAGUUCUGUUGCACAAGAUUUUAAUACAGAUGGCCAUAAUGAUGAUGGCUUGGUACAACCCAGUUAUUAGUGUUACAUUUAGAAGAACGGUGAAUGUAGUUCUUUAUUUUUAUUUCUAUUUGUUUCCAUAAGUGAAAGUAGCUAGUUGAAGUUUAUGGCUUGACCUUUUAUCUGUUUAUUUUGCUGUUAAUACAACUUUUCGAUAGUAUGAGAAGUUUUCUUUUUUUUUCAUCUGUUGGCAUUACUAACUCCUUCUCAAAUUAAUGACCAGGAUGGCAAUGUCAAGUGAAACUCAGUCUCUACUAUGGCAGUUGGUGGAAAUUUGAGUGUUAGUAACAAUGCUGGUGGUGGAUUUGCUACUGCAGUAUUGAGACAUCAGGUUUCCUUCUUUGUUUCGGCAGAGUUCACGGUUUCAGCUGGUUUAAGAGCGUUAAUUGGAGCACAGAUGUCACGCCAACAGUCGGUAAACUCAGUAUUGUUGUUUCCCUGAGAGAUGUCCCAGUCAAUUUAUCCGAUGUGUGGACUCGGCAACUCUCUUAGACAUAAAGUGGAAAUUGAAUGAGACUACCCUCCACUUAGGUUGUGAACUGCUAUGUCUGUUUGCGUCUAGGAAAUAACUAUCACCUCUUGAAUCUGAAAUACCAACUCGAUCAAAAAUAACUACAGAUUACUUGGUUCUGAUAUACCCACUCGGUCGAAGAGGAAACAUAUCAAGGAGUGAUGUGGUUGAGAUCGAAAUAUGGUUUCAAAGGGAAAGUACAAUUGGUGGUCUCCUAGGCUCUGGUGGUGGCUUCGUUUUGGGACCUCUCCUUUUAGAAAUUGGUGUCAUUCUACAGGUAAGUCUUAUGGGAUCGAUCACCUGACAAUAUCUACGAGAGACUGCAUCUUUGCUGUGGACUUCUUACAUGGUGAAUGAUGUUGAUGUCAUCUACUACUACUUCAGUGGCAAAGACAUCAAGGUCUGGAGAAGUGCUGGAUUGCAGUAUUUGAAUGGGUUUGUAGGAUGAAAGCGAAUGGAUUUCAUUUGCAACUGCAGUUUUUACUAGAUUUAUUUGUAUUGCAUCUUUGCAGGUGCAGUUUCUACUAGAUUUAUUUGUUGAGAAUGCAUGAACUACAGUUGAAAAAUUUGAAAUUGCAGGCCUGGGUUCCAGGUUUAGUUUUAGUUGAAUUACAGGCCUAUAAAUCGGAAGCCCGUGUCCAUGAAUAUGGUCUGGGCUACCCAUUUUUUUUU